UACCAGACUCCUACGGGAGGCAGCAGUGGGGGAUAUUGCACAAUGGGGGAAACCCUGAUGCAGCGACGCCGCGUGGGUGAAGAAGCGCCUCGGCGCGUAAAGCCCUGUCAGCAGGGAAGAAAAUGACGGUACCUGAAGAAGAAGCCCCGGCUAACUACGUGCCAGCAGCCGCGGUAAUACGUAGGGGGCAAGCGUUAUCCGGAUUUACUGGGUGUAAAGGGGGCGCAGACGGCGAUGCAAGCCAGGAGUGAAAGCCCGGGGCCCAACCCCGGGACUGCUCUUGGAACUGCGUGGCUGGAGUGCAGGAGGGGCAGGCGGAAUUCCUGGUGUAGCGGUGAAAUGCGUAGAUAUCAGGAGGAACACCGGUGGCGAAGGCGGCCUACUGGACUGCAACUGACGUUGAGGCCCGAAAGCGUGGGGAGCAAACAGGAUUAGAUACCCCCGUA
rnacentral:rRNA from 1 species